GAUGAACGCUGGCGGCGUGCUUAACACAUGCAAGUCGAACGAUGAUCUCCAGCUUGCUGGGGGGAUUAGUGGCGAACGGGUGAGUAACACGUGAGUAACCUGCCCUUGACUCUGGGAUAAGCCUGGGAAACUGGGUCUAAUACCGGAUAUGACUUCUCAUCGCAGGGUGGGGGGUGGAAAGCUGUUUGUGGUUUUGGAUGGACUCGCGGCCUAUCAGCUUGUUGGUGGGGUAAUGGCCUACCAAGGCGACGACGGGUAGCCGGCCUGAGAGGGUGACCGGCCACACUGGGACUGAGACACGGCCCAGACUCCUACGGGAGGCAGCAGUGGGGAAUAUUGCACAAUGGGCGCAAGCCUGAUGCAGCGACGCCGCGUGAGGGAUGACGGCCUUCGGGUUGCAAACCUCUUUCAGUAGGGAAGAAGCCCUUCGGGGUGACGGUACUUGCAGAAGAAGCGCCGGCUAACUACGUGCCAGCAGCCGCGGUAACAC
rnacentral:rRNA from 1 species